GAGGGUACAGCUCAGUGGUAGAGCACAUGUUUAGAAGUACGAGGUCUUGGGUUCAAUCCCCAGUAUUUCCA
rnacentral:tRNA from 1 species